GAGAGCGAUAGAGAGAGACCGGGAGAAACUUUUCUUCUUCUUUCCAUUCUCCAUUAUUUUCUCUGAUGAAGGAACUGCAACUCGUGCAUCAUAACUGUGAAAACAAAUAGUUAAUUAGAUGAAUAGAGGAAGGUGUUGUUAGUUAUGUUGAUUUUUUUUGUUUGGGCUAGAGUUUCCGGAGAAAAGGUGAAACGGAAUCAGAGUUAGGGUUACCUGAAUUGAAAUCUAGAUGGAGUAGGUGAUGAUUUGAUUUCUUAGAGUUGUGAUGAUGAAUUAGAUCGUGGUGUUGUUGCUGAUAUAUGAAUUAGGAAAGAAAGAAAAAGUCAGAGAUAAUGAGGAGUUAGAAUUAUUAUAUGGUUCAUGGAACUGAUGGUGGUGGUGAUGAUUCGAGUGAUUGUGCCAAUCUCUAAAGAAAAGUACCUUCUUAGUGGAAAAAUGCUAAAAGCUCAGUUGUACGAUGAACUUGUAAAAGAAGUGGCCACUUUUCCCUUUCCCGUAAAGCUGAGCUGAAAAUGCUUUUUGAUAUGCAUGAUACUGAGAUUUGUGGGGUGAAAACACUAGUAAAGAGCUUUCUGCCCGUCAAGGAACUCACAUAGACGUAAAGUAAAUAAGUUUUUGGAUAGUUUGUGGAAGAUACUGCUGCGGGUGACUCCUUGGAUGAUUUUACAAAGUAAAAAUGUGUUUGAAAUUUCCAGGGUUGGUCACCUGAUGUCAGUGUUAGCAAUGAUGGGGAAAUUAUAAGCUGGGACACAUAGACAGGGAAGCAAUUAGGACUACCACUCAAAGGCAAAAAAAUGGAUUACUUCCAUAUCAUGGGAGCCUUUACACUUAAAUUCUCCGUGCCACCACUUUGCAACUUUAAGCAAAGAUGGGGAUGUACGUGUUUGGGACAUUUCAUUCAGAAGAUGUGUUUUAUUUCUUACGGGACACACGGAUGCAAUAGCUUGUGUUAAAUGGAGCGGACAUGAAGUUAUAUA